rnacentral:ncRNA from 1 species
CUUUCAGCUGGAAUAUACUCCAGUGAAGAUAUUACUACUACUACUACUACUAAUUUUUUUUAAAAAGACCAGCCUUUUAGGGUGCACUCAUUAAGAAGUUAGUUAUGUUAUUCUGGAAAAAAAAAAAAAAAAGCUAUGCAAAGCUGGCUGGCCAAUGAUGUACUUCAGCCAAGAAUAAUGGAAUGAUUCUGGCUCAUUUUUUUUGUUGGUUUUUGGAAUCAGAGCUAUGAUUAUGAGCAAUAGCUGGGGGCAUUCAUAUUGUGCCACUUGAACUGAAAUUCUUGGACCAGUGAAGGAUGAACUAAAGCAAAAGCAUUUGGCAAAAAUGUUUUAAUUAGUCAAGAA